AUUGAACGCUGGCGGCAUGAUUUACACAUGCAAGUCGAACGGUAACAGGCCGCAAGGUGCUGACGAGUGGCGAACGGGUGAGUAAUGCAUCGGAACGUGCCCAGUCGUGGGGGAUAACUACUCGAAAGAGUAGCUAAUACCGCAUACGAUCUAUGGAUGAAAGCGGGGGACCGUCAGGCCUCGCGCGAUUGGAGCGGCCGAUGUCAGAUUAGGUAGUUGGUGGGGUAAAGGCUCACCAAGCCAACGAUCUGUAGCUGGUCUGAGAGGACGACCAGCCACACUGGGACUGAGACACGGCCCAGACUCCUACGGGAGGCAGCAGUGGGGAAUUUUGGACAAAGGGCGCAAGCCUGAUCCAGCAAUGCCGCGUGCAGGAAGAAGGCCUUCGGGUUGUAAACUGCUUUUGUACGGAACGAAACGGCUCUGGUUAAUACCCGGGGCUAAUGACGGUACCGUAAGAAUAAGCACCGGCUAACUACGUG
rnacentral:rRNA from 1 species